rfam:Ornithorhynchus anatinus chromosome 4, whole genome shotgun sequence.
UUCCUCUCAGAAACACACCUGGAGAGUGGCCAGUACUCUACCACUCUCGACUGCGGGAGGGAGAGACAAGCAGAGACAUAUCCAUUCCAUUCCUAGCUUGGCCAGUGGCUAGCGAGUGGAAGGCCAUCUGCUACAAAU